GCCAGGCGUGGUGGCGGGCGCCUGUAAUCCCAGCUGCUUGGGAGGCUGAGGCAGGAGAAUCGCUUGAACCCGGGAGGCGGAGGUUGCAGUGAGCUGAGAUUGCGCCACUGCACUCCAGCCUGGGCAACAGAGUGAGACUCUGUCUCAA
rnacentral:SRP_RNA from 1 species